rnacentral:rRNA from 1 species
UACGUAGGGUGCAAGCGUUGUCCGGAAUUAUUGGGCGUAAAGAGCUCGUAGGCGGUCUGUCGCGUCUGCUGUGAAAACUCAGGGCUUAACCCUGAGCUUGCAGUGGGGUACGGGCAGGCUAGAGUUCGGCAGGGGGAGACUGGAAUUCCUGGUGUAGCGGUGAAAUGCGCAGAUAUCAGGAGGAACACCGGUGGCGAAGGCGGGGUCUCUGGG